rnacentral:tRNA from 1 species
GCGGGGAUGGCGGAACAGGCAGACGCGCCGGAUUUAGGAUCCGGUCCCGUAAGGGGUGGGGGUUCGACUCCCCUUCUCCGCA